CUCCAGUUGAUCGCAUGGUCUUCUGGGAAAGCUUUCGCGGUAUGGGAUGGGGUCGCGUCCUAUCAGCUUGACGGCGGGGUAACGGCCCACCGUGGCUUCGACGGGUAGCCGGCCUGAGAGGGCGACCGGCCACAUUGGGACUGAGAUACGGCCCAGACUCCUACGGGAGGCAGCAGUGGGGAAUAUUGCACAGUGGGCGCAAGCCUGAUGCAGCGACGCCGCGUGAGGGAUGGAGGCCUUCGGGUUGUAAACCUCUUUUAUCGGGGAGCAAGCGAGAGUGAGUUUACCCGUUGAAUAAGCACCGGCUAACUACGUGCCAGCAGCCGCGGUAAUACGUAGGGUGCAAGCGUUAUCCGGAAUUAUUGGGCGUAAAGGGCUCGUAGGCGGUUCGUCGCGUCCGGUGUGAAAGUCCAUCGCUUAACGGUGGAUCCGCGCCGGGUACGGGCGGG
rnacentral:rRNA from 1 species